AUUGAACGCUGGCGGCAGGCCUAACACAUGCCAGUCGAGCGGAUGAAGGGAGCUUGCUCCUGGAUUCAGCGGCGGACGGGCGAGUAAUGCCUAGGAAUCUGCCUGGUCGUGGGGGAUAACGUCCGGAAACGGGCGCUAAUACCGCAUACGUCCUGAGGGAGAAAGUGGGGGAUCUUCGGACCUCACGCUAUCAGAUGAGCCUAGGUCGGAUUAGCUAGUUGGUGGGGUAAAGGCCUACCAAGGCGACGAUCCGUAACUGGUCUGAGAGGAUGAUCAGUCACACUGGAACUGAGACACGGUCCAGACUCCUACGGGAGGCAGCAGUGGGGAAUAUUGGACAAUGGGCGAAAGCCUGAUCCAGCCAUGCCGCGUGUGUGAAGAAGGUCUUCGGAUUGUAAAGCACUUUAAGUUGGGAGGAAGGGCAGUAAGUUAAUACCUUGCUGUUUUGACGUUACCAACAGAAUAAGCACCGGCUAACUUCGUG
rnacentral:rRNA from 1 species